GAGACCUAAGCCCAGAAGUGAUCUCGGGACUCCAAAUCCCUGAGCAGUAGAAUCUGGACAAGGGCAGCGAUGGGCAAACCUCAAAAGCUUUGGCGUUCAAGUUUGAUUUGAGUGAACCAUUUCAGCUGUAACCCAAUGUAUUGGAGCUAGCUGACUAGAGAAAAGAGGAGGAUUGGAAAGAGCGAUGAGUUCGGUGGCCUUCACUGGGAGGAAUUAAAGAAAGAAAGCAUACAAGAUAACCAGCUGCUGUACCAUCCACUGCUAACCUGUGCUGAGUGCCAACACUGAUCUUUUACUAAGAGAACCCUGAGCAAUAUUAACGGAGACCCAUGUAUAGUUGCAGAGACAUUGAUAGUAUUAUGGCAAGGUUGCAGGUGCUAAACACAGCAAGAUCAAGGAGUGGCUUUGUGUGACUUAUUGUUAAAUUAGUCCAACCCAGCAUCUAUCAGUCAGUGGCAGAGAGAAACCUGAGACAGAAUUUAAUCAUCAUUGAAAAGAAAUUCACGUUAGUGAAGCAUGUCAUACUAUCCUGAACAAGAUCAUAUUUUCUUUGGGAUGUAGCGGUUUAGCAUUGUAGAAGUCCUGAUGUAGCCUAAAGUUUCAUGAUUGUCUCUAUGCUGCCCACCAUGGGAAUUCAGAUUUUCAUGGCCACCAAAGGGAGAUGAGUCAGAUGUUAUCAGUCCAAAAGCACAAGCCCAACCAUUUAAGUGAAAGGGGAAUCUCCAAUAGCUAUUAACAGUAUAGGGCAUAUGCAAGGUAGGUGAGCACUUUCGAUAAUAUUCAGUAUAAGCCAGUUCCAAGCAGUAUUUAGGAGCAGAAAAUCAGGGGAAAUGGACUGCAGAGAGACAGUAGUUUUGAAGCACAAUGAAGAAGAGAAUUACUGAUUUAGAGAUGACCUGAUCAACUCACUUCCAAUAGGUUUGAAUGAAUCUUUAAUAUGAGCUUUGGUUAUCUAGUUUGCUAUGCAGUAUCUGGAAACUUUGCACUGAGUGUUUGCUGUAGCAAAGCUUUAGCUCAAUUUAGUGUUUGCAUUUCUGUCAGCUAAUUAAUAUUUGAACUAAUUGUUGAAUAUAGUUACAGUUGGGGUCUCUAGAAAUCUGUAGGAAAUUCUAGCAAAAUCUGAACAUUUCCCACAUAUACACCCUCCCCCCCCAAAAAAAAUAUUAGCACUGCAUGCUUUAAAAAAUAGUCUGUUUGAUCAUGGAUUUGGCAGACAUAUUUGUGAGACAUGUACUGAUUCUCUCUGACAAAAACUACUAUUCUCUAUGGCUGUCUUGUCUACCAGAUGAUAAAUUAUGAGUCUCAUUUUAUCUCAUUUUUUAUAUUACAGUAGCACAUCAUCACAGUGUUUUUCUACCUUGGUGCACACUACUUGUGGAGCAUAUUAUAAAGAGAUAUUUUAUUUUAUUUUUUUAAAUGCAGCCUUGUGUACGUGAACAUUUUUAGAAAGUUUUCACUUAUUUCAGACUGGAAUCAGAGGUUUCAAAUUUAGUUUCAUACAUACAGUUGCCAGCUCUUUUCUCUGCGCAUGUACAGCACCCAGCACAAAACGGUCCCUAACCUGGAAGACUCGGUCAGAAUCAGGGCUCUAUUGCGCUAGGCAAUAUACACACAUAUAACAAAUAGAUAGUUUCAGCCAUAGAGAACUCACAGUCUAAGGCUACAGCUACACUAUGAACUAGGGGUGUAAUUCCCAGCUCCUGUCCACAUACUCGCACUAGCUUGAUGAGAGUUAGCACACGUAUAAAUAGUAGUGUAUCCAUGGUAGUAUGGGCAGUAGCAGCACAUCUUAGCUGUUCUAAGGACAAACCCACCAGAACCCCAGGG